rnacentral:rRNA from 1 species
UUAGGUGGUUAUAACGUUGGGGUUCCACCUCUUCCCAUUCCGAACAGAGAAGUUAAGCCCAAUUGUGCCGAUGGUACUGCGAGAGUGGGAGAGUAGGUAGCCGCCGUCUU